AUACGUAGGGUGCGAGCGUUGUCCGGAAUUAUUGGGCGUAAAGGGCUCGUAGGCGGUUUGUCGCGUCGGGAGUGAAAACCAGGUGCUUAACACCUGGCUUGCUUUCGAUACGGGCAGACUAGAGGUAUUCAGGGGAGAACGGAAUUCCUGGUGUAGCGGUGAAAUGCGCAGAUAUCAGGAGGAACACCGGUGGCGAAGGCGGUUCUCUGGGAAUGACCUGACGCUGAGGAGCGAAAGUGUGGGGAGCGAACAG
rnacentral:rRNA from 1 species